rnacentral:rRNA from 1 species
UUCCAGACUCCUACGGGAGGCAGCAGUGGGGAAUAUUGCACAAUGGGGGAAACCCUGAUGCAGCGACGCCGCGUGAGUGAAGAAGUAUUUCGGUAUGUAAAGCUCUAUCAGCAGGGAAGAAAAUGACGGUACCUGAUUAAGAAGCCCCGGCUAACUACGUGCCAGCAGCCGCGGUAAUACGUAGGGGGCAAGCGUUAUCCGGAUUUACUGGGUGUAAAGGGAGCGUAGACGGUGAUGCAAGUCAGAAGUGAAAGCCCGGGGCUCAACUCCGGGACUGCUUUUGAAACUGUGUAACUGGAGUGCAGGAGAGGUAAGCGGAAUUCCUGGUGUAGCGGUGAAAUGCGUAGAUAUCAGGAGGAACACCAGUGGCGAAGGCGGCCUGCUGGACAGUAACUGACGUUGAGGCUCGAAAGCGUGGGGAGCAAACAGGAUUAGAUACCCCGGUA